rnacentral:rRNA from 1 species
ACUCCUACGGGAGGCAGCAGUGAGGAAUAUUGGUCAAUGGACGAGAGUCUGAACCAGCCAAGUCGCGUGAAGGAAGACGGCCCUACGGGUUGUAAACUUCUUUUGUAAGGGAAUAAAAAGUCUUACGAGAUAAGACGUUGCAGGUAC